GUGCUCACUUUGGCAGCUCAUCCACUAAAAUUGGAAUGAUACAGAGAAGUGUACAGCAUGGCCACUGCGCAAGAAUGACAUGCGAGUUUGUGAAGCAUUCCAUAUUUUU
rnacentral:snRNA from 1 species